UCAAUGGUGUUGGCUUGGUUCAGUCUCAGUUUGCUACUUUGAAAAAUUGACGUGUUUGGUUCAGUUCUUGGUUUAGCCUAAAAUCAAAUCGAGCUAAGUAUAUUACAUCCCUACUAAAUGAGAAUUUCCAAAUUUGGUCUCAUUUUUUUUAUUAAACUUAAUGACACUUUAUCCAUCUCUGAAUUCACUAAAUGGCAUACUAUUACAUGUAGUAAAUAAAUUUGUAUAAAAUAAUUUUAUUGAUGAAAACAAUCCUUCUCUACUUCGUAUGAGUUUUCUUCUAGGAAUCAAAAUCUUAGCUAAAGCAACUGCCAGUGGUAUACAUGAGUUUUUUUUUUUUUUUUUUUUCCUUUUUUGUUGUUUGCUUUGCAGGGCAGAUAGCGAUGCUAAUUACCUUAAUUCAUAUGUCCUUUAUUUUUUCUACAAGAUUAAAUCGUCUUUCAUUUUUGUGAUAAUAGAAUAAUGUUUUAGGGAAUUAGUGGGGAUCAUGAAUUUGGGAUGUCAAAAUUUGUUGGCAUGUCCCCACAUAAGUGGGUCCCAUGUGGGGUGCUACACAAACCGCAUUCAAAAAAUUUGAAAGGAGCCCUGAUUCAUAUGCUACAUCAAUGAUUUAUAUAAGGACAUUCCAUCAUAAUCUCAUAGGGUUAGGUUUAAUUUAAUGAGGAGUUUAGGUUCAAUUAAGCACUAUUCAAGAAGUUAAUGUUCAAUUGAGUCUUAACUGGGGACGUUGAGUUGCUUGUGACUUGUUUUAAUGGCUCAUGAAAUGAAAGUGGGUUAAGUUUUGUGGUUUGGGUUUGAUGUUUUUGUGAACUGUGCAUGUUUUUAUGUUUCGUGUGAAUUUGGAGUUUUGAAUCCGAUGGACUUGUGUGUGUGCUACAGGUGACAUGCUAGGAAGACAAGAGCUUGAAGAUGAAAUUUGAGGAUUUUAUUAUUAUGGAUGUGAAGUUCAUAUUUAAGAAGGUGGAGAUGUAAUGCAUGCACAUAGUGAAUGAACCCCUUUUUUCAAUUUUAUUUAUGAAGAAAUGGGAGGAAAAGAGCGAUAAGGGGUAUGGAAUCAAAAGGAAAAUAUGCCCAAUGAGAGAAUACCUACCAAUAUUUGCCUUUGAACAUCCCAUUAAGAUAGGAGGUAAAAGAACGCCCGUGGAGGUGAGAGUAGAGGGAUAACACAAGGUCCCCUACAAGCGAUAGGGACGACCUCCGAUGGCACAAACUUGUUAAUUUUGCUAACUCCCCUAAAAACAUAAUUUUUAAAUAUUUUUGAGGAAAAUGAAAAAUGAAUUGAGACCCUUGAAACUCUUUUUUUGAAAAAAAAAAUAUUAAAAAUCAAGACAACUCAUAUCAAUAUUUGAUUUUGCCAUAUGAUGUCCAAAUAAAAUUAUGUGCCUAUAAAAAAUACGUACGUAUCAUUUGAUAAAUCUUAAACUUUAAAUAAUAAUAAAAUGGGAUAAUAUUAGAUUAUAUAAGGAAAUUUAUUUUGAAGGCUAAACUAAGCAUAACCCUUAUUUUCUACAAUACUAAGGUUUCAUUCGGAAAAGACAUAACACAAGGUAACAAACACACAAUACUAAGGUUUCAUUCGGAAAAGACAUAACACAAGGUAACAAACACAUAGAAAUAACAACAUAGCAACAAUAAUAGCAACCAACUAGAGUUUUAGAAGGUAAAACAACUACCAUAACAUAGGGAAAUGUGAGAAACUAUGGUGGGGGAGGUGAUGGGGUAAGAGGAGGGGGAUGGGGGAAGUAACGUAAGAGUGGGAGCUCGGAUCUUUGCAAUGGUGGUAGAAAUGGAAGUGGCGACAAAGGCGGCAAUAGACUUUUCACCUCCUCUAAGUCCAUUCUUCCCUGCAUUGCUCUUGCUCCAUCCUUCUCCUUCUCUUCAUUUUCAAUACUUUCCCUUACUAUUUUCUCAACCUUUUCUCCAUAUGUUGAUGCUUUGAGUUGGCGAGCAUUAUUAUAUUGCAGAAGAUGAUGACUAUGAUUACCAAGCUCACCAUUAUAACCCACUUAUGGACCAUCCUAUUAUAGCUUUUUGAAUCCAUUUUCAAAAUCCAAAUUGCUAAAGAAAGCUUGAUAAAGGAUUUAUCUU